rnacentral:rRNA from 1 species
UUGAUCCUGGCUCAGAAUCAACGCUGGCGGCGUGCCUAACACAUGCAAGUCGAACGCGGUUACCUCGCAAGGGGUAACUGAGUGGCGAACGGGUGAGUAUCACGUGGGUGACCUACCUUCGAGUGGGGGAUAACGUCCCGAAAGGGACGUUAAUACCGCAUAACAUCCUGCCUUUGAAUAGGUGGGGAUCAAAGCCGGGUAUCGCAAGACCUGGCGCUUGAUGAGGGGCCCGCGCCUGAUUAGCUAGUUUGUGAGGUAAUGGCUCACCAAGGCGACGAUCAGUAUCCGGCCUGAGAGGGUGGACGGACACACUGGGACUGAGACACGGCCCAGACUCCUACGGGAGGCAUCAGUGGGGAAUUGUUCGCAAUGGGCGCAAGCCUGACGACGCAACGCCGCUUGGAGGAUGAAGGUCUUCGGAUUGUAAACUCCUGUUGCUCGGGACGAAAUGCUUCGACCUAACACGUCGAAGUCUGACGGUACCGAGUGAGGAAGCCCCUGCUAACUCUGUGCCAGCAGCCGCGGUAAUAAGGU